rnacentral:rRNA from 1 species
CCUACGGGAGACAGCAGUGAGGAAUAUUGGUCAAUGGACGAGAGUCUGAACCAGCCAAGUAGCGUGAAGGAUGACUGUCCUAUGGGUUGUAAACUUCUUUUAUCUGGGAAUACAACGUUCUACGUGUGGGAUUUUGUAUGUACCUUAUGAAUAAGGAUCGGCUAACUCCGUGCCAGCAGCCGCGGUAAUACGGGGGAUCCGAACGUUAUCCGGAUUUCUUGGGUUUAACGGGUGCGUAGGCGGGCUGUUAAGUCAGCGGUAAAAGCCCGGGGCUCAACCCCGGCGAGCCGUUGAAACUGGCUGUCUUGAGAUGUCGAGAGGUAUGCGGAAUGCGCAGUGUAGCGGUGAAAUGCUUAGAUAUCGCGCAGAACUCCGAUUGCGAAGGCAGCAUGCCGGCGGCGAUCUGACGCUGAGGCACGAAAGCGUGGGUAUCGAACAGGAUUAGAUACCCGGGUAGUC